rnacentral:rRNA from 1 species
GACGAACGCUGGCGGCGUGCCUAAUACAUGCAAGUCGAACGCAGUGGGGACGGGUGAGUAACACGUGGGUAACCUCCCAUCAGAGGGGAUAACACUUGGAAACAGGUGCUAAACCGAUACUGAUGGAUGGACCCGCGUUGCAUUAGCUAGUUGGUGAGGUAACGGCUUACCAAGGCCACGAUGCAUAGACGACAUGAGAGGGUGAUCGGCCAGACUGUGACAGAGACACGGCCCAAAAUCCUACGGUGGGCAGCAGUAGGAAAUCUUAGGCAAUGGACGAAAGUCUGACCGAGCAACGCCGCGUGAGGGAAGAAGGUUUGCGGAUCGUAAAACUCUGUUGUUAGAGAAGCGGUAUCUAACCAGAAAGCCACGGCUAAGUACGUGCCAGCAGCCGCGGUAAUUC